rnacentral:rRNA from 2 species
UAACCUGCCCAUCAGAGGGGGAUAACAUUCGGAAACGGAUGCUAAAACCGCAUAGGUCUUCGAACCGCAUGGUUUGAAGAGGAAAAGAGGCGCAAGCUUCUGCUGAUGGAUGGACCCGCGGUGCAUUAGCUAGUUGGUGAGGUAACGGCUCACCAAGGCCGUGAUGCAUAGCCGACCUGAGAGGGUGAUCGGCCACAUUGGGACUGAGACACGGCCCAA